ACUUUCCUGGUUGGGCUGGCUUCAAACCACGAUCCUCAGAACUCAGCCUCCUGAGUAGCUAGGAUUACAUGAGCCACCAGCACUCUAUUUGGAAAGCAGCUUUCAUUUCAUGAGAGUAGGAGGAGUACUGACCGACCUCCAUCUCCCUCCAAUUCAACUUCUAGAAUGCUAAAGACCUAAGAGGGGAAAGAAUCUGAGAUUCUAGUAUUCUAUGUAAACAUAAGCUGGUUCCGUUACCCCCACUACCCCACCACUAUUUCCUAGGAAACAAAAAAUAUCAAAUUAAGAGAUCACACAGCUCCUCCUCACUCAUGACUUGCUCAAGGUACUGUCAAGUAAGACUGAAAGAUCAGUGAGCACUCACUGUGCUUCUCAUUCAUUCUUUCUGCAAAAGUAAAAAUCAUCUAAAAACAGGCUUCAAUCUAUUAGUU